UGUCCCCUGCGGUGUUUGUGAAGGCCAUACAUUCCUUGAACCAAUGCUGAUUGGCAUCGGUUGUGGACCGUUGAAACCGCUGUUGUGCGCUUGCUUCGUCGCAGGUGCCUGAUGCGGGAGGAAAGCAACCACUCUGAACCCAGGUUCAGGAUGCCGGCCUGACGGCACUUGCGGGGGCCAU
rnacentral:other from 2 species